AGUACAAUUACUGGGUCAUAUGGUAACUUUAUGUUUAACUCUCGGAGAAACUGCCAGAUUGUUUUCCAAUGACUGCAUCAUUUUAUAGUCCCUUCAGCAAU
rnacentral:pre_miRNA from 1 species